rnacentral:rRNA from 1 species
GAUGAACGCUGGCGGCGUGCCUAAUACAUGCAAGUCGAACGCGAAGCCUGGUUUCGACUGGGUGGAGAGUGGCGGACGGGUGAGUAACACAUGGCUGACCUGCCCUUCAGAGGGGGACAACUGCUGGAAACGGCAGCUAAUACCCCAUACGCUCGUGGUGGUUAGGGGACCACGAGGAAAGGCUGAGGUGCUGAGGGAGGGGGCUGUGGCCCAUCAGCUAGUUGGUAGGGUAACGGCCUACCAAGGCGAGGACGGGUAGGGGGCCUGAGAGGGUGACCCCCCACACUGGAACUGAGAGACGGUCCAGACUCCUACGGGAGGCUG